AACUCACGAGUUUGAAGCUAAGUUGAACAAGAUUUUAGGUCUAGAUAUAAUGAAAUAAAAUUCAGAGGAGCCAUUUUAUUGGAGCAAAGGCUAUUGACUAUACUGCUUGGGAAAUAUUAAGAUCACGAGCCCAUAUUAUGCUUCCCUAGGAUUUGGCAUUCCUGGCAUGUAGAUUGUUCUAGCUUUUAUGAAUCUUCCUUCAGCAUCUCUAACGCAAAUUCCUAACUCAAAAUGAUUUAGAUUGGCAAAGGUUUUUGCCAUGGUGAUAGAGCUUCAGACUGAGGUGUUGAGUGUAGAGCAGUGGGUCAAUGCGCAUGAAGCCACUCAUUGAGAAAUUACAUUGACAGGGAUACCGAGACAUGUGGGUUGGGUUCUGAUUUCUUCUCCUCUAAACACACCAUAGAAUCAUGGCAAACUUCUGCAAAUGAGGUGGUUGAAGAUGAGCUCAAUUGUAGAUUUGUCUUGAUCAAUGUUAGUGGCAAUUAAGCUUCCCAGAUGCGUUUGGCCUGGGCACAGUCCAAGAAAAUAUGAACUCAUUUUCAAAGUUUCCGUCAUCAUAGCAGCUAUUACUUGAGCAUUGAACUCCCUUUGAUUGGAGUCUUAGCUGAGAGUUUUCCAUAUGAAGUGAUUCACCUUUGGUGGAACCCAAAGGUUCCAGAUGAUGUUCCAAUUUCCUGGAAGCUUCAAAUGCUCAUUUCGGAUCUAGUGCUCCAUGAGAUGAUGAUAUAUUGACUUGACACUAUAGUCGCCAUUGCUAGUUAAUCUCUACCUGAGCUUGUCAUUGU
rnacentral:lncRNA from 1 species